ensembl:lncRNA
GCCAUAUACAGCACACUGAGUAUACCAAAUAAUUAGGAACACCUUCCUAAUAUUGAGUUACACCCCCUUUUGCCCUCAGAACAGCCUCAAUAUGUUCGGGGCAUGGACUUCUACAAGGUGUUGACUCCAAUGCUUCCCACAGUUGUGUCAAGUUGGCUGGAUGUCCUUUGGGUGGUGGACCAUUCUUGAUACACACGUGAAACUGUUGACCUUGAAAAACCCAGCAGUGUUGCAGUUCUUGACACAAACCUUUGCGCCUGGCACCUACUACCAUACCCCGUUCAAAGGCACUUAACUCUUUUGUCUUGCCCAUUCCCUCUCUGAAUGGCACACAUACACAAUCUAUGUCUCAAUUGUCUCAAGGCUUGAAAAUCCUUCUUGAACCUGUCUCCUAUACUUCAUCUACACUGAUUGAAGUGGAUUUAACAAGUGACAUCAAUAAGGGAUCAUAGCAUUCACCUGGUCAGUCUAUGUCAUGAAAAGAGCAGGUGUUCCUAAUUUUUUAUAUUUUUUAUUUUUUUCCACCUUUAUUUAACCAGGUAGGCUAGUUGAGAACAAGUUCUCAUUUGCAACUGCGACCUGGCCAAGAUAAAGCAUAGCAGUGUGAGCAUACAACAAAGAGUUACACAUGGAGUAAACAAUUAACAAGUCAAUAACACAGUAGAAAACGAAGGGGGGGUCUAUAUACAAUGUGUGCAAAAGGCAUGAGGAGGUAGGCAAAUAAUUACAAUUUUGCAGAUUAACACUGGAGUGAUAAAAGAUCAGAUGGUCAUGUACAGGUAGAGAUAUUGGUGUGCAGAAGAGCAGAAAAGUAAAUAAAUAAAAACAGUACGGGGAUGAGGUAGGUGAAAAGGGUGGGCUAUUUACCAAUAGACUGAUGUACUAAUGUUUAUAUACUCAGUGUAUGUCAACAUGGUGGCAUGAUGAUAAGAUAUUGGAGUUUUUCAUGUUUUUCAGGAACCAGAGACAGUAUCCAUAGAAGCCAAUGAGUGGAAGAGAGCAGCCUCACAUGAUCAUUAGCACCACUUCUGGACUAUGCUGUACUCUAGAGGCUGUGGACUGUGUAGAGACUGAGAGACGAGUGGAGUCAGACCCAGUCGGUAUCAGAUGUGGUGACCCCACUUGGUGACCCGGCCCGCCUGUGGGGAAAACAACCUGUGGUUACCAUGUUGGUUCACGGCAAAAACUUGACCUUUUUCAAAUGUAUUUUUCUUGCUGUCUGCUUGUUUUAGUCAAUUACAAAACUACAUUUAAGAAAAGUACAACAUGUCUAAAGAUUACUUUUCAACAUUGCCUGCUCCCGAGCGUUCUCACUACUUAGAAAUACGUAAUAUUGUAUGUUGUAGGGGUUCCCUCAUGCCCCUUUUCAUGAUGGUGAUAGCAGCCAUGUGAGUGCUAGCUAGGUAGCGACCGGAACAUUAAGCUAGCCAAGACCAACAACACAAACAAAAGGACUAUACUAAACAAGUUAAAUGUCUUGCCUGUGAUGAAAUGUUUUCCACACACAUAGCUACGUAUAGUCUACUUGGACACCGCAUACCCACAUUUCCCACUCUCCCACUCUGAAUACCCUGAAGCCUGAAGUGUGUGUAUGUGCUGUGUGCAAGUGUUAAACUUCAAGAACAUUGACAAGAGGCAGUAGGCCUUAAACAUUGAGAGCAUUAAUAAGCUGUAUGUUACAGUGACUUUUGUGUUGUUUAUAGUGCCAUUAAAACAAUUCUGAUGCAUAUUAUUUUGUGUUUCUUUCCCAUAAAAUCAAAACAUAGUAUGCCUGUAACUCAAUGUAUAGGAAAAUUGUUUAUUUGUGGCCAAAUCUGAGCUAAUUCUAAAAUUGCGACUAAUCGCGAUUAAGGGAUGCCAUUAAGUCGAUUCAUUAUUUUAAUUAUUUAACAGCCCUAGUUUAUGUUGUACCCUGGUGGGUUAGGGGAAGGGUUAACUGCAUUUAAACUGCAGUUAUUGAUGACCCAUUGACAAGGCAUUAUAACACUUAAACUUAAACUUUAAGAUAUGAAGAUAGACUAGAAAAAACCAUGCCAAAAUAUCAAGUCAACCGUGUUGAUAUUGUUGAAAAUGUUGUUUUAAUAUAAUUUUGAGAUCGGAUAGUCCUACCCAUUUAGAUGAGAUGUUGCUAGACUGAGUGUACAAAAUAUUAGGAACACCUGCUCUUUCCAUGACAUAGACUGACUAAGUAAAUCCAGGUGGAAUCUAUGAUCCCUUAUUGAUGUCACUUGUUAAAUCCACUUCAAUCAGUGUAGAUGAAGGGAAGAAGAAAGGUUAAAGAAAGAUUUGUAAGCUUUGAGACAAUUGAGACAUGGAUUGUGUAUGUGUGCCAUUCGAAGGGUGAAUGGGCAA